GUGCCUCUACCUGAGGGCCAUGGAGAGCAUGGACGCGCGCGCCGUGCUGGCCUGCAGGAGCCUCGUGAGGCUGUCGCAGAUGGUGGAGGAGCCGAUCCCGGAGCCGUCCUUCGCCGGCGUCGAGGCCAACAUGGCAGAGCUGGAGACCAUGAGGGCCAACAUCCUUAG
rnacentral:rRNA from 1 species